rnacentral:rRNA from 1 species
GAUGAACGCUAGCGGCAGGCUUAACACAUGCAAGUCGAGGGGUAUAGGGAGCUUGCUUCCUAGAGACCGGCGCACGGGUGCGUAACGCGUAUGCAAUCUACCUUUUGCAGAGGAUAGCCCAGAGAAAUUUGGAUUAAUACCUCAUAGUAUAGCAGUUUCGCAUGAAACCACUAUUAAAGUCACAACGGUGAAAGAUGAGUAUGCGUCCCAUUAGCUAGUUGGUAAGGUAACGGCUUACCAAGGCAACGAUGGGUAGGGGUCCUGAGAGGGAGAUCCCCCACACUGGUACUGAGACACGGACCAGACUCCUACGGGAGGCAGCAGUGAGGAAUAUUGGUCAAUGGGCGCAAGCCUGAACCAGCCAUGCCGCGUGCAGGAAGACGGUCCUAAUGGAUUGUAAACUGCUUUUAUACAGGAAGAAACCCUCCCACGUGUGGGAGAUUGACGGUACUGUAGGAAUAAGGAUCGGCUAAACUCCGUGCCAGCAG